rnacentral:rRNA from 1 species
CGGGUGGUAAUGCCGGAUGCUCCGACUCCUCGCAUGGGGUGUCGGGAAAGAUUUCAUCGGUAUGGGAUGGGGUCGCGUCCUAUCAGGUAGUCGGCGGGGUAACGGCCCACCGAGCCUACGACGGGUAGCCGGCCUGAGAGGGCGACCGGCCACAUUGGGACUGAGAUACGGCCCAGACUCCUACGGGAGGCAGCAGUGGGGAAUAUUGCACAAUGGGCGCAAGCCUGAUGCAGCGACGCCGCGUGCGGGAUGACGGCCUUCGGGUUGUAAACCGCUUUUGAUCGGGAGCAAGCCUUCGGGUGAGUGUACCUUUCGAAUAAGCACCGGCUAACUACGUGCCAGCAGCCGCGGUAAUACGUAGGGUGCAAGCGUUAUCCGGAAUUAUUGGGCGUAAAGGGCUCGUAGGCGGUUCGUCGCGUCCGGUGUGAAAGUCCAUCGCUUAACGGUGGAUCUGCGCCGGGUACGGGCGGGCUGGAGUGCGGUAGGGGAGACUGGAAUUCCCGGUGUAACGGUGGAAUGUGUACAUAUC